rnacentral:rRNA from 1 species
AUUGAACGCUGGCGGCAGGCCUAACACAUGCAAGUCGAGCGGAUGAGGGGAGCUUGCUCUCUGAUUCAGCGGCGGACGGGUGAGUAAUACCUAGGAAUCUGCCUGGUAGUGGGGGACAACGUUUCGAAAGGAACGCUAAUACCGCAUACGUCCUACGGGAGAAAGCAGGGGACCUUCGGGCCGUGCGCUAUCAGAUGAGCCUAGGUCGGAUUAGCUAGUUGGUGGGGUAAAGGCUCACCAAGGCGACGAUCCGUAACUGGUCUGAGAGGAUGAUCAGUCACACUGGAACUGAGACACGGUCCAGACUCCUACGGGAGGCAGCAGUGGGGAAUAUUGGACAAUGGGCGAAAGCCUGAUCCAGCCAUGCCGCGUGUGUGAAGAAGGUCUUCGGAUUGUAAAGCACUUUAAGUUGGGAGGAAGGGCAGUAAGUUAAUACCUUGCUGUUUUGACGUUACCGACAGAAUAAGCACCGGCUAACUUCGUGCCAGCCGCCGCAGUAACAC